rnacentral:misc_RNA from 1 species
UUUCCGUAGGUGAACCUGCAGAAGGAUCAUUAACACUUUUUACAUUGGUUUUUAGGAGAGAAAUCUUUUUUUUCUCCUAAAAAUUCAAUUUAUAUCCCCAUUUUAAUGAAUGAAUUUUAGUCAAGUUUCUUCUUUUUCUUUUUUUAACAAGAAAGAAAAAGUAAAACUUGACUUUUUUCUCACUUUUUUUUCAAACCCCAACCAAUCACUAUGAACUUUUAUAGACUAAUAUAAAUUGUUUUUUUUUACACAAAGAAAACAAAAAACUUUUAAUGUAAAGAACAACUCUUAACAACGGAUAUCUUGGCUCUC